UACAGAUGUCUCAAGCGUUGUUCGGAUUCAUUGGGCGUAAAGGGUGCGUAGGCGGCGCGGUAAGUCGGGUGUGAAAUCUCGGAGCUUAACUCCGAAACUGCAUUCGAUACUGCCGUGCUUGAGGACUGGAGAGGAGACUGGAAUUUACGGUGUAGCGGUGAAAUGCGUAGAUAUCGUAAGGAAGACCAGUGGCGAAGGCGGGUCUCUGGACAGUUCCUGACGCUGAGGCACGAAGGCCAGGGGAGCAAACGGG
rnacentral:rRNA from 1 species